UGAGGAAUAUUGGUCAAUGGCCGGGAGGCUGAACCAGCCAAGUCGCGUGAGGGAUGACGGCCCUACGGGUUGUAAACCUCUUUUGUCAGGGAGCAAGACCCUCCACGUGUGGAGGAGCGAGAGUACCUGAAGAAAAAGCAUCGGCUAACUCCGUGCCAGCAGCCGCGGUAAUACGGAGGAUGCGAGCGUUAUCCGGAUUUAUUGGGUUUAAAGGGUGCGCAGGCGGGCAGUCAAGUCAGCGGUAAAAUGGUGGGGCCCAACCCCAUCCCGCCGUUGAAACUGGCAGUCUUGAGUGAGCGAGAAGUAUGCGGAAUGCGUGGUGUAGCGGUGAAAUGCAUAGAUAUCACGCAGAACUCCGAUUGCGAAGGCAGCAUACCGGCGCUCAACUGACGCUCAUGCACGAAAGCGUGGGUAUCGAACAGG
rnacentral:rRNA from 1 species